UGCGUAGGUGGAAAAAUAAGUCAGUGGUGAAAGUCUGCCGCUUAACGGUAGGACUGCCAUUGAUACUGUUUUUCUUGAGUAUGGUUGAGGUAAGCGGAAUGUGUAGUGUAGCGGUGAAAUGCAUAGAUAUUACACAGAACGCCAAUUGCGAAGGCAGCUUACUAAACCAUCACUGACACUGAUGCACGAAAGCGUGGGUAGCGAACAGGAUUAGAUACCCUGGUAGUCC
rnacentral:rRNA from 1 species